UACGUAGGGUGCAAGCGUUAUCCGGAAUUACUGGGCGUAAAGCGCACGUAGGCGGCUUUGUAAGUUAGAGGUGAAAGCCCGGAGCUCAACUCCGGAACUGCCUUUAAGACUGCAUCGCUUGAAUCCAGGAGAGGUGAGUGGAAUUCCGAGUGUAGAGGUGAAAUUCGUAGAUAUUCGGAAGAACACCAGUGGCGAAGGCGGCUCACUGGACUGGUAUUGACGCUGAGGUGCGAAAGCGUGGGGAGCAAACAGG
rnacentral:rRNA from 1 species